UACAGAGGUCCCAAGCGUUGUUCGGAUUCAUUGGGCGUAAAGGGUGCGUAGGCGGCGCGGUAAGUCGGGUGUGAAAUCUCGGGGCUAACUCCGAAACUGCAUUCGAUACUGCCGUGCUUGAGGACUGGAGAGGAGACUGGAAUUUACGGUGUAGCGGUGAAAUGCGUAGAUAUCGUAGGGAAGACCAGUGGCGAAGGCGGGUCUCUGGACAGUUCCUGACGCUGAGGCACGAAGGCCAGGGGAGCAAACGGGG
rnacentral:rRNA from 1 species